rnacentral:rRNA from 2 species
AGACCCGAAACCCGGUGAUCUAGCCAUGGGCAGGUUGAAGGUUGGGUAACACUAACUGGAGGACCGAACCGACUAAUGUUGAAAAAUUAGCGGAUGACUUGUGGCUGGGGGUGAAAGGCCAAUCAAACCGGGAGAUAGCUGGUUCUCCCCGAAAGCUAUUUAGGUAGCGCCUCGUGAAUUCAUCUCCGGGGGUAGAGCACUGUUUCGGCAAGGGGGUCAUCCCGACUUACCAACCCGAUGCAAACUGCGAAUACCGGAGAAUGUUAUCACGGGAGACACACGGCGGGUGCUAACGUCCGUCGUGAAGAGGGAAACAACCCAGACCGCCAGCUAAGGUCCCAAAGUCAUGGUUAAGUGGGAAACGAUGUGGGAAGGCCCAGACAGCCAGGAUGUUGGCUUAGAAGCAGCCAUCAUUUAAAGAAAGCGUAAUAGCUCACUGGUCGAGUCGGCCUGCGCGGAAGAUGUAACGGGGCUAAACCAUGCACCGAAGCUGCGGCAGCGACACUGUGUGUUGUUGGGUAGGGGAGCGUUCUGUAAGCCUGUGAAGGUGUACUGUGAGGUAUGCUGGAGGUAUCAGAAGUGCGAAUGCUGACAUAAGUAACGAUAAAGCGGGUGAAAAGCCCGCUCGCCGGAAGACCAAGGGUUCCUGUCCAACGUUAAUCGGGGCAGGGUGAGUCGACCCCUAAGGCGAGGCCGAAAGGCGUAGUCGAUGGGAAACAGGUUAAUAUUCCUGUACUUGGUGUUACUGCGAAGGGGGGACGGAGAAGGCUAUGUUGGCCGGGCGACGGUUGUCCCGGUUUAAGCGUGUAGGCUGGUUUUCCAGGCAAAUCCGGAAAAUCAAGGCUGAGGCGUGAUGACGAGGCACUACGGUGCUGAAGCAACAAAUGCCCUGCUUCCAGGAAAAGCCUCUAAGCAUCAGGUAACAUCAAAUCGUACCCCAAACCGACACAGGUGGUCAGGUAGAGAAUACCAAGGCGCUUGAGAGAACUCGGGUGAAGGAACUAGGCAAAAUGGUGCCGUAACUUCGGGAGAAGGCACGCUGAUAUGUAGGUGAAGUCCCUCGCGGAUGGAGCUGAAAUCAGUCGAAGAUACCAGCUGGCUGCAACUGUUUAUUAAAAACACAGCACUGUGCAAACACGAAAGUGGACGUAUACGGUGUGACGCCUGCCCGGUGCCGGAAGGUUAAUUGAUGGGGUCAGCGCAAGCGAAGCUCUUGAUCGAAGCCCCGGUAAACGGCGGCCGUAACUAUAACGGUCCUAAGGUAGCGAAAUUCCUUGUCGGGUAAGUUCCGACCUGCACGAAUGGCGUAAUGAUGGCCAGGCUGUCUCCACCCGAGACUCAGUGAAAUUGAACUCGCUGUGAAGAUGCAGUGUACCCGCGGCAAGACGGAAAGACCCCGUGAACCUUUACUAUAGCUUGACACUGAACAUUGAGCCUUGAUGUGUAGGAUAGGUGGGAGGCUUUGAAGUGUGGACGCCAGUCUGCAUGGAGCCGACCUUGAAAUACCACCCUUUAAUGUUUGAUGUUCUAACGUGGACCCGUGAUCCGGGUUGCGGACAGUGUCUGGUGGGUAGUUUGACUGGGGCGGUCUCCUCCUAAAGAGUAACGGAGGAGCACGAAGGUUGGCUAAUCCUGGUCGGACAUCAGGAGGUUAGUGCAAUGGCAUAAGCCAGCUUGACUGCGAGCGUGACGGCGCGAGCAGGUGCGAAAGCAGGUCAUAGUGAUCCGGUGGUUCUGAAUGGAAGGGCCAUCGCUCAACGGAUAAAAGGUACUCCGGGGAUAACAGGCUGAUACCGCCCAAGAGUUCAUAUCGACGGCGGUGUUUGGCACCUCGAUGUCGGCUCAUCACAUCCUGGGGCUGAAGUAGGUCCCAAGGGUAUGGCUGUUCGCCAUUUAAAGUGGUACGCGAGCUGGGUUUAGAACGUCGUGAGACAGUUCGGUCCCUAUCUGCCGUGGGCGCUGGAGAACUGAGGGGGGCUGCUCCUAGUACGAGAGGACCGGAGUGGACGCAUCACUGGUGUUCGGGUUGUCAUGCCAAUGGCACUGCCCGGUAGCUAAAUGCGGAAGAGAUAAGUGCUGAAAGCAUCUAAGCACGAAACUUGCCCCGAGAUGAGUUCUCCCUGACCCUUUAAGGGUCCUGAAGGAACGUUGAAGACGACGACGUUGAUAGGCCGGGUGUGUAAGCGCAGCGAUGCGUUGAGCUAACCGGUACUAAUGAACCGUGAGGCUUAACCUU